rnacentral:rRNA from 1 species
GCCAGACUCCUACGGGAGGCAGCAGUGGGGGAUAUUGCACAAUGGGGGGAACCCUGAUGCAGCGACGCCGCGUGGGUGAAGGAGCGUUUCGGCGCGUAAAGCCCUAUCGGCAGGGAAGAAGGAGGACGGUACCUGACUAAGAAGCCCCGGCUAACUACGUGCCAGCAGCCGCGGUAAUACGUAGGGGGCAAGCGUUAUCCGGAUUUACUGGGUGUAAAGGGAGCGUAGACGGCGGUGCAAGCCAGAUGUGAAAGCCCGGGGCUCAACCCCGGGACUGCAUUUGGAACUGUGCUGCUAGAGUGUCGGAGAGGCAGGCGGAAUUCCUAGUGUAGCGGUGAAAUGCGUAGAUAUUAGGAGGAACACCGGUGGCGAAGGCGGCCUGCUGGACGACGACUGACGUUGAGGCUCGAGAGCGUGGGGAGCGAACAGGAUUAGAUACCCCCGUAGU